GUGGGGAAUAUUGGACAAUGGGCGAAAGCCUGAUCCAGCCAUGCCGCGUGUAUGAAGAAGGUCUUCGGAUUGUAAAGCACUUUAAGUUGGGAGGAAGGGCAGUAAGUUAAUACCUUGCUGUUUUGACGUUACCGACAGAAUAAGCACCGGCUAACUUCGUGCCAGCAGCCGCGGUAAUACGAAGGGUGCAAGCGUUAAUCGGAAUUACUGGGCGUAAAGCGCGCGUAGGUGGUUUUGUAAGUUGGAGGUGAAAUCCCCGGGCUCAACCUGGGAACUGCCUCCAAAACUGCAUGACUAGAGUACGGUAGAGGGUAGUGGAAUUUCCUGUGUAGCGGUGAAAUGCGUAGAUAUAGGAAGGAACACCAGUGGCGAAGGCGACUACCUGGACUGAUACUGACACUGAGGUGCGAAAGCGUGGGGAGCAAACAGGAUUAGAAACCCGUGUAGUCC
rnacentral:rRNA from 1 species